UACGGAGGGUGCAAGCGUUAUCCGGAUUCACUGGGUUUAAAGGGUGCGUAGGCGGGUAUGUAAGUCAGUGGUGAAAUCCUGGAGCUUAACUCCAGAACUGCCAUUGAUACUAUAUAUCUUGAAUAUUGUGGAGGUUUGCGGAAUAUGUCAUGUAGCGGUGAAAUGCUUAGAUAUGACAUAGAACACCUAUUGCGAAGGCAGCAGGCUACACAUAUAUUGACGCUGAGGCACGAAAGCGUGGGGAUCAAACAGG
rnacentral:rRNA from 2 species